rnacentral:rRNA from 1 species
CCUACGGGAGACAGCAGUGAGGAAUAUUGGUCAAUGGACGAGAGUCUGAACCAGCCAAGUAGCGUGAAGGAUGACUGCCCUAUGGGUUGUAAACUUCUUUUAUAUGGGAAUAAAAUGUUCCACGUGUGGGAUUUUGUAUGUAUCAUAUGAAUAAGGAUCGGCUAACUCCGUGCCAGCAGCCGCGGUAAUACGGAGGAUCCGAGCGUUAUCCGGAUUUAUUGGGUUUAAAGGGAGCGUAGGUGGAUUGUUAAGUCAGUUGUGAAAGUUUGCGGCUCAACCGUAAAAUUGCAGUUGAAACUGGCAGUCUUGAGUACAGUAGAGGUGGGCGGAAUUCGUGGUGUAGCGGUGAAAUGCUUAGAUAUCACGAAGAACUCCGAUUGCGAAGGCAGUUCACUGGACUGCAACUGACACUGAGGCUCGAAAGUGUGGGUAUCAAACAGGAUUAGAUACCCCUGUAGUC